CUACGGGUGGCACCAGUGGGGAAUAUUGGACAAUGGGGGAAACCCUGAUCCAGCAAUGCCGCGUGUGUGAAGAAGGCCUGCGGGUUGUAAAGCACUUUCGGUUGGGAGGACUGCUUCUAGCACUAAUAUUGUUGGAAGUUGACGUUACCUUCAGAAGAAGCACCGGCUAACUCCGUGCCAGCAGACCGCGGUAAUACGGAGGGUGCAAGCGUUAAUCGGAAUUACUGGGCGUAAAGCGCGCGUAGGCGGCUAGAUCAGUCGGGUGUGAAAGCCCCGGGCUUAACCUGGGAACUGCAUCCGAUACUGUCUAGCUUGAGUACAGGAGAGGAGAGUGGAAUUCCACAUGUAGCGGUGAAAUGCGUAGAUAUGUGGAGGAACACCAAUGGCGAAGGCAGCUCUCUGGCCUGAUACCGACGCUGAGGUGCGAAAGCGUGGGGAGCAAACAGGAUUAGAUACCCCAGUAGUC
rnacentral:rRNA from 1 species